rnacentral:rRNA from 1 species
AGUGAACGCUGGCGGUAGGCCUAACACAUGCAAGUCGAACGGCAGCACAGUAAGAGCUUGCUCUUACGGGUGGCGAGUGGCGGACGGGUGAGGAAUACAUCGGAAUCUACUUUUUCGUGGGGGAUAACGUAGGGAAACUUACGCUAAUACCGCAUACGACCUACGGGUGAAAGCUGGGGAUCUUCGGACCUUGCGCGAUUGAAUGAGCCGAUGUCGGAUUAGCUAGUUGGCGGGGUAAAGGCCCACCAAGGCGACGAUCCGUAGCUGGUCUGAGAGGAUGAUCAGCAAAACUGAAACUGGGACACGUUCCAAACCCCUACGGGAGGCAGCAUGGGGAAUAUUGGACAAUGGGCGCAAGCCUGAUCCAGCCAUACCGCGUGGGUGAAGAAGGCCUUCGGGUUGUAAAGCCCUUUUGUUGGGAAAGAAAAGCAGCAGGUUAAUACCCCGCUGUUCUGACGGUACCCAAAGAAUAAGCACCGGCUAACUUCGUG